UACGGAGGGGGCUAGCGUUGUUCGGAAUUACUGGGCGUAAAGCGCACGUAGGCGGAUCUUUAAGUCAGGGGUGAAAUCCCGAGGCUCAACCUCGGAACUGCCUUUGAGACUGCGUCGCUCGAAUCCGGGAGAGGCGGGUGGAAUUCCGAGUGUAGAGGUGAAAUUCGUAGAUAUUCGGAAGAACACCAGUGGCGAAGGCGGCCCGCUGGACCGGCAUUGACGCUGAGGUGCGAAAGCGUGGGGAGCAAACAGG
rnacentral:rRNA from 1 species